GGCGAGGGGUCCCCGCAAUGGGGAGCCGCGAACCUGGUCAGGGGCGAAAGUCAGCAGCCAUAAGCGGUCAUCUUCAUGUGCGGCGGGCUCCUCGCCGGA
rnacentral:SRP_RNA from 1 species